CCUACGGGAGGCUCCAGUCGAGAAUCAUUCACAAUGGGGGAAACCCUGAUGGUGCGACGCCGCGUGGGGGAAUGAAGGUCUUCGGAUUGUAAACCCCUGUCAUGUGGGAGCAAAUUAAAAAGAUAGUACCACAAGAGGAAGAGACGGCUAACUCUGUGCCAGCAGCCGCGGUAAUACAGAGGUCUCAAGCGUUGUUCGGAAUCACUGGGCGUAAAGCGUGCGUAGGCUGUUUCGUAAGUCGUGUGUGAAAGGCGCGGGCUCAACCCGCGGACGGCACAUGAUACUGCGAGACUAGAGUAAGGGAGGGGGAACCGGAAUUCUCGGUGUAGCAGUGAAAUGCGUAGAUAUCGAGAGGAACACUCGUGGCGAAGGCGGGUUCCUGGACAUUAACUGACGCUGAGGCACGAAGGCCAGGGGAGCGAAAGGGAUUAGAUACCCCUGUAGUC
rnacentral:rRNA from 1 species